rnacentral:rRNA from 1 species
CUAGAUUUUAUUAAUGAAAUGCACAACUUGCUUACUGGGUGGACUGGUCCAACUCUAGUAGGUGGGGAUUUUAAUUUGAUUAGGGAGGCCAGUGAGAAAAACACUGGUCUGAUCAACCAGCACUAGGCAGACAUGUUCAAUGACUGGAUUAAUAAAUUUGAUCUUCUUGAGCUAAAGAUUAAUGGCAGGAAAUACACCUGGGGCAACAACCAAGACUCCUUGGUAAUGGCCACUAUAGAUAGGGUUUUCAUGUCCACUAACUGGGCAACAUCGUUUCCUAAUGUUCAGCUCAGAGCUCUUCCCAGGGUUGGAAGUGAUCACACCCCUAUGGUAUUGAACACUUGUGCUUUCUCCACCCCUAAAGAGAAAGCUUUUAGAUUUGAGAAAUGGUUUCUUGAAGUAGAAGGCUUUAGGGAGGUAGUCCAUAAAGCCUGGAAUACUAAAUGUUACUUUACCAAAGCCAUUGAUAUUUGGCAGUUUAAUAUUAGAAAUACCAGGAAAGCUAUUAAAGGCUAG